GAUGAACGCUAGCUACAGGCUUAACACAUGCAAGUCGAGGGGAAACGACAUCGAAAGCUUGCUUUUGAUGGGCGUCGACCGGCGCACGGGUGAGUAACGCGUAUCCAACCUGCCCACCACUUGGGGAUAACCUUGCGAAAGUAAGACUAAUACCCAAUGAUAUCUCUAGAAGACAUCUGAAAGAGAUUAAAGAUUUAUCGGUGAUGGAUGGGGAUGCGUCUGAUUAGCUUGUUGGAGGGGUAACGGCCCACCAAGGCGACGAUCAGUAGGGGUUCUGAGAGGAAGGUCCCCCACAUUGGAACUGAGACACGGUCCAAACUCCUACGGGAGGCAGCAGUGAGGAAUAUUGGUCAAUGGGCGAGAGCCUGAACCAGCCAAGUAGCGUGCAGGAAGACGGCCCUAUGGGUUGUAAACUGCUUUUAUAAGGGAAUAAAGUGAGUCUCGUGAGACUUUUUGCAUGUACCUUAUGAAUAAGGACCGGCUAAUUCCGUGCCAGCCGCCGCCGUAAGAC
rnacentral:rRNA from 1 species